ensembl:rRNA 5S_rRNA 5S ribosomal RNA
CUGAAUGCACCCAAUCCCGUCAGAUGUCGGAAGCGAGACAG